CUCCACGUUCAUGCGACGACGGGUAGCCGGCCUGAGAGGGUGACCGGCCACACUGGGACUGAGACACGGCCCAGACUCCUACGGGAGGCAGCAGUGGGGAAUAUUGCACAAUGGGCGAAAGCCUGAUGCAGCGACGCCGCGUGAGGGAUGACGGCCUUCGGGUUGUAAACCUCUUUCAGCAGGGACGAAGCGAAAGUGACGGUACCUGCAGAAGAAGCGCCGGCUAACUACGUGCAGUC
rnacentral:rRNA from 1 species